rnacentral:lncRNA from 1 species
UCUGGCACAUUUCAUACCCCUUUCCUGAUUCUACUGUAAGAACAGUCAACAGGAAAUAUGUUCACCGUAAAUGACUGUGAGGCAGUGAUGCAUGCUGCAGCUUCAUUCUUCUGGGAGAGUCUGAGUUUCCACCAUAAGAAAAGUCAGAGAUGUAGUUAUUUCCUGUCUUCCUCUUCACUGAAUCCUUGGACAGUACCCAUUUUAUGUUCUUAAGUGAAAAUGCUUUCUUCACUGUGUGUCUGAAAGUGUACGAACUAUUGUUGGAGUGUCAUAUGGGCAUCUCUCUCAUCUCCCAGAUCGAUGGCAUCGUCUAGGACUUCCCACAUAGACAAGAUAAACGAAAGGCUUCCAUGGACAGCUUGAGCCCUGAGGGCGGUGCCGAGCUGACAGCCUGGAACAUUGACCAACGCGCUGCAACUGACGUGUAAAUCACCCUCCGACUAGGGGUCCCGAAUCUGGAAAAGGAAAUGUCAUCUUUGGACUUUGCCCAUCAUGUGUUUAUGCACGAACAGUCCUUUCAAGUGCCUCUCUCCACCUUUGCAGACAAGUGGCAUAAUGCAGGCCAGGCGCAGUGGUUCACGCCUGUAAUCCCA